rnacentral:rRNA from 1 species
CGGCAGCACAGAAGAGCUUGCUCUUUGGGUGGCGAGUGGCGGACGGGUGAGUAAUGUCUGGGAAACUGCCCGAUGGAGGGGGAUAACUACUGGAAACGGUAGCUAAUACCGCAUAACGUCGCAAGACCAAAGUGGGGGACCUUCGGGCCUCACACCAUCGGAUGUGCCCAGAUGGGAUUAGCUAGUAGGUGGGGUAAUGGCUCACCUAGGCGACGAUCCCUAGCUGGUCUGAGAGGAUGACCAGCCACACUGGAACUGAGACACGGUCCAGACUCCUACGGGAGGCAGCAGUGGGGAAUAUUGCACAAUGGGCGCAAGCCUGAUGCAGCCAUGCCGCGUGUAUGANGAAGGCCUUCGGGUUGUAAAGUACUUUCAGCGGGGAGGAAGGCGGUGAGGUUAAUAACCUUGCCGAUUGACGUUACCCGCAGAAGAAGCACCGGCUAACUCCGUGCCAGCAGCCGCGGUAAUACGGAGGGUGCAAGCGUUAAUCGGAAUUACUGGGCGUANAGCGCACGCAGGCGGUCUGUUAAGUCAGAUGUGAAAUCCCCGGGCUUANCCUGGGAACUGCAUUUGAAACUGGCAGGCUUGAGUCUCGUAGAGGGGGGUAGAAUUCC